rnacentral:lncRNA from 1 species
CAUGUCCUGUCAUGAACUGUAGCCUUGUGAGACCGGCCUGGUCUUAGUUCAUGUCCUGUUCUCUCUGUAGACCUGCCUGGUCUUAGUACAGUUCCUGUUCUCUCUGUAGACCGGCCUGGUUUUAGUUCAGGUCCUGUUCUCUCUGUAGACCGGCCUUUAAGCUCACCAUGUCCAGUAUUCAGAAUUCAAAACAUUUAUUCACAAAUAUGUUAUUUUUUGCCAAGCGGAGCCAGCCAGUCCUAGCCUGGCGCCGCCCACCUACUUACUUCCGCUCAAUUUUCAUUUCACUUCAGUUUUAUACACACAAUGGCUGUGUCCCAAUUCCUAGGACGCAUCCUUCGAAGGCUGCAUUCGAAGGAUGCGUCGACGCCGUUUGCGUCACAGCGUCGCGCCAAGUGCUGUCCCAAUUCCAAGGGUCCUUCAAAUGCGGCCUACGAAUGCAGCCUUCUUUUCCCGGAUUUGAAGGAUGCAUCGGCUGUAUCCUUCACGGCCCAACGUAUCCCAAGAUCCUUCACGGCCCAACGUAUCCCUCCCAAGAUUCAUUGCGCAUUCAAUCAAUGGAGAUGGCGGAGAAUGGCGAUUUAAGUUCUGCAUUUAAAUGGGGCCAGCAGCAUACUGCUCGAUUUAUUCUAUUGAGGGGGGAGAACGAUGAGCUGUUCACCGGGAUGAAAUACUCAGCAAGUGUGGCUUGGGGGUAAAGAAACAAUCGUUUAUUUAUAUCGUAAGUUAGUUUAUAAAAAUUAUUAUAGGCCAUUUAUCUAUCUACAUUUGACCAUCUUGUAAAGGUUAGUUAAAUUAGCCCUCAUUAAACAGCAGGACAGAUACAACAUCCCCAGAAAUCGUUUACUACAAUGUCCUAUUUUGGGUUAUUAAAGAAAGAAAGACAAAAAAAGUCACAGCUCGCAGAAAAACACACAAAGAAAAUGGGUGUUUUGACUUCUACUGGUUGUCUUAUUAUUAUGGGCUUCAUAUAGGAUGAGGGUUAAUUUAGAUGUAACCUUUACAAGAUGGUCAAUAUAUAUAUAUUAUAAAUGGCCUAUUGUUAACAUGGGCUAAUAACACGAUUGAUAAAU